GACGAACGCUGGCGGCGUGCUUAACACAUGCAAGUCGAACGGUAAGGCCCUUCGGGGUACACGAGUGGCGAACGGGUGAGUAACACGUGGGUGAUCUGCCCUGCCCUUCGGGAUAAGCCUGGGAAACUGGGUCUAAUACCGGAUAGGACCACUGCCUGCAUGGGUGGUGGUGGAAAGCUUUUGCGGUGUGGGAUGGGCCCGCGGCCUAUCAGCUUGUUGGUGGGGUGAUGGCCUACCAAGGCGAGGACGGGUAGCCGGCCUGAGAGGGUGAACGGCCACACUGGGACUGAGAUACGGACCAGGCUCCGACGGGAGGAAGCAGUGGGGAAUAUUGCACAAUGGGGGCAAGCGUGAUGCAGCGACGCCGCGUGAGGGAUGACGGCCUUCGAGUUGUAAACCUCUUUCAGCACCGACGAAGCGCAAGUGACGGUAGGUGCAGAAGAAGGACCGGCCAACUACGUGCCAGCAGCCGCCGCGG
rnacentral:rRNA from 1 species